CAAAACUCAUUUACAUUUAUCAUUUUUAUCCUCCCCGCUGGUGCGAUUGAGACACAUGUGACCGUCGAGCUCGCCAGGUCUGACAAAACUCCGACCAUCAGUCCCUUGUACAAUCCCACUCGACCUCCUAUCCUCUCUGAUGAUUUUCCAUGUUAGGUAAUAAGUCGUCGUCGCAGUUGUAGGCUUGUAGCCAUCAGACAAUGCCACCGCGACUUACCUUUAAAUCCCCACCGAAAGACACGAUAAACCGACUGGGUAUUCGAUCUCUAGUUUCAGCCAAACCAUACCAGGAUAUGACAAUUUGCAUAUAAACACAACGUAACCAAAUUUUGUUUCAAUCGAUUGAUUUCUAUGUAUUCUUUUCUUCCCCAAUUAUCCAAGUCCUAAUUUUCUGUUGCCUACCUCUGAU
rnacentral:lncRNA from 1 species